rnacentral:lncRNA from 1 species
CAAUCUUCUUAUUAUUUAGGAUAACUUUUAUAUCUUUUAAUUGGAAGAGCAAUCCAACUCAAAUUCUUAAAGACAGAUCUUAAAAGUAGAGAAUGUGUACAAAUUAAUCAUCAAUUAAUGAAAGCAAAACACCUAGAUUCAUACUUUAACAAUUUUAUUAUUUUAUAAUAAUUAUUUUCAAUAAAGACUCGAGUUAAGAGGAUUGAAGGAACUAUAAGAGGGAUUC